rnacentral:ncRNA from 1 species
CACCGAUAAGAGCAAACUUAGAGCAAUCUAAGGGCGCAAAGCUACCUGUCCAGACCCAUACUAUCCCCUCUCCCCUUGUGGGAGAGGGCAGGGUGAGGGGUUUGGGAAGAGGAGUUGCCGAA